CCCUUCGGGGUUAGUGGCGGACGGGUGAGUAACACGUGGGAACGUGCCUUUAGGUUCGGAAUAGCUCCUGGAAACGGGUGGUAAUGCCGAAUGUGCCCUUCGGGGGAAAGAUUUAUCGCCUUUAGAGCGGCCCGCGUCUGAUUAGCUAGUUGGUGAGGUAAAGGCUCACCAAGGCUACGAUCAGUAGCUGGUCUGAGAGGAUGACCAGCCACAUUGGGACUGAGACACGGCCCAAACUCCUACGGGAGGCAGCAGUGGGGAAUCUUGCGCAAUGGGCGAAAGCCUGACGCAGCCAUGCCGCGUGAAUGAUGAAGGUCUUAGGAUUGUAAAAUUCUUUCAGUAGGGACGAUAAUGACGGUACCUACAGAAGAAGCCCCGGCUAACUUCGUGCCAGCAGCCGCGGUAAUACGAAGGGGGCUAGCGUUGCUCGGAAUUACUGGGCGUAAAGGGAGCGUAGGCGGACAUUUAAGUCAGGGGUGAAAUCCCAGAGCUCAACUCUGGAACUGCCUUUGAUACUGGGUGUCUUGAGUGUGAUAGAGGUAUGUGGAACUCCGAGUGUAGAGGUGAAAUUCGUAGAUAUUCGGAAGAACACCAGUGGCGAAGGCGACAUACUGGAUCAUUACUGACGCUGAGGCUCG
rnacentral:rRNA from 1 species